AAUAUUGGGACAUAUAAAAAAAGACAAGUCUGUUCCGCAGAGUAGCUGUUGACAUUAUAGUUGCGCAGGCACUUUGUUGACUCUAGAGAACCUCAGGCCAAUCGCACAUCCCCAUGGCGGCGACUUUGCAUGCGGAUGUCAUCCAUAUCAACUUUCGAUGCCAGUUUCUGCGCCUACCAUGGUGACUAUGGGUAACGGGGAAUCAGUGUUCCAUUCCAUACAGGGACCCUGAGAAACGGCUACCACAUGCAAGGAAGGCAGCAGGCGCGCAAAUGACCCACUCCCGACGCGGGAAGGUAGUGA